CCAGGGCCUGGCCCCUUGCUCACGAGGCUUGCGUGCGUGUCGGAGGCAGGGGGUCGGAGCAGAGGCCAGGCCCAAGCAUCCCCUUGAGAACCCCGAGCCGCACAGCCCCAUCCCACCCUUGGGCUCUUACCUCCACCCCACCCGACCAUGGCGUUUCAGAGCCCCCGGUCGAGGCCCGGAGUGGGAGCCGAGUCGGCAAAGCGGGUUUCUUGCCCUGGCUCUGCUGCGGGCCCCCGCAGUGCUGAACCAGGCCUGGGGAGGCCACAGACUGAAUCUGUGCCUGUAACCCCACUGCUCCUAGCAGGUGCGGUCUCUGAAUCCAGACAGCCCAAGUUCAGAGCUGAGCUUUGGCCCCGUCUAGCUGUGUAACCCGGGCAAGCUCCCCAGCUCUCCCGUGCGUCCCUUCCUUUAUCUGAAAAAUGGGCUUAACGGUACCUACCUGUAGUCCUGGACGGGUGGCUGAGCAACCGCUUUUGGGGCAAGAGGCCUCAUCUCUCUUAGCUCCCAAGGCUGUAGCCCUCCGCAGAGCCCCAGGAGGAGACCCAGAGGUCAGAAGGUUUCUGCUCUAGGGCCACGCAAAGCUUUGGGGAGGAGAGAGCUCCCUGGCCAAGGGUGUACAGCAGUCAGGGGAAGCACGCAGACCAGGCUGGUGCCUUCCCCCGCCCCCCCGGCCCAGAAUGCAGCUUGGCAGCCCCGUGAGGAAGGGCCACGGGAAUGCUGGGCAGGUGCAGGGCUCAAGUUGCCUGCACUGCUCUGAGGCCAGAGUUGGGGAGGAGCCAGGAGCUCCAGGGGGGCCACGUUAACCCUUCCUUCUCAGGAACCUGGCCUCAGGAGCCCUCUCACUGGCAGGCCAUGGGUUCGCACAGUUGAGGGGUCUUAAUCGAGUCAGGCCUCUUUAUUGUGUAGGUGAGGAGACCGAGGCUAGGGCUGAGGGGUGACCCAUGCCCCCCACGGAAUGGGUCCCAAGUCAGGGACACCUUCUCAGAAGAAGGAAAGGGGGUGCUGAGGGAGGAGGGAGCUUGGCGGUGGUGACAGCCACGUGACGUGGUCAGAUUCAGGCUUUGCCCCUCCAGGCUAGGCCCCCAUCUGUGCCCUGUCCUCACCCCCCGCCCCAGCCCCUUUGUGUAUCUGCCGAGUUUGCUACCCUCUUGUGCGCAAGGAAGUCCAAAUGCCAGCCUGGGUGAGGGCGCAGGGAGCCGCUCCCGGGCAGGCGGGUGGCCAAGGGGGUGAAAGGCCGCCGGGCCUCCCGUCACUGGAGCAGCGGUCAGCUGGCAGCCCCACCUCGCCAGCCGGAGCCAGGCAGCUGUUCACGUUCAGUUUCAGCACCUCACCAAGCUUUGCUUCUCGCUCCCGACUCAGUGCUCAUGUCACAGAAGGGAGCUUCUCUGGAAAAACAAGACUUCAGUCCUGCUGCCAGGCCAGGGGCCCACUGGGCGGAGGCCUGGGUGCGGGGAGAGGGUGGCCUGGCCUGGCCCCUUGGGCUCGCCGCUGGCGUCGGCUCUGGCUUCAGCUUAGCCCUGUGCUUUAGAAGACGUGCUUGGCCACGGCCUGGGUCGCAUUUGAGUUGUGUUUCAGCUUCACGGUAGACCAAGGGCAGAGAGGCAAACAAGGCCUCAGCUCCACUUAUAAUGAAGAUACCGAGACCCAGAGGGAGACCCCGCCUGGCCGUGAGCGAGUGGGGCAGGAGGACAGGGCCCCAGACUGGUGUUCUGUCCCCUCCUCGCCUCUCAGACGGUCCCAGGGACACCCUGAGGCAGGGAUGAGCCUGCACCUGCCAGGCUUCUGAGAGCUUGUGGUCUGUUCGGGGGGCACCAUCCAGGUACUGGAUGGAGGGAACCAGGACACAGGGGCUUGGAUCAGAUCACAGAUCCGCUCUCGGUACCUGCAGUCAGCCGGGCCCAUCUCCACUACUUUCCCAGCAGGGAAACUCCUUCCUCACUCCUUUGCUCGGCCGUGACUCCACCUGGAACACCCCCGAGUCGUCUUUGUUCACAUUCCGCCUUUAUGUUGUUUCCAGUCCAUCUUCCGUGUAUGACACCUGCUCCCCGGACCCAGGGCCCCUGCAGCCCCUCAGGCCAAUGAGCAUGCUGCCAUGUGGGCGCCUCCUGCCCCCCCACCCAGAAGGCUGAGGCUCCUCACACCACAGGCCAUGGGGAGUCUGCUCGUGCCCCCAGAGCGCCAGCAGGAACGUGGGGAUACUUUCCGAGGACUGGAUAAGAGCGAGGCCACCAAGGGAGCCCUGUCCCCGAGGCCGUGUCGCCCCCGACCCAACUCACUGCCUCCCACCCUGCCUGAGGAGGAAACUCACAGGAUCGCACGGAUAUUUUCUUCCCGAUGCUCCCGGAAAGAGCCCUGCAGCCCAGGGGACUGAGGCGAGGGCCCGCACAGCUCCCUCGGCCUCGGCCGGCGACCCUCGGGGCUGAGAAAGCCCUGAAGCCACCGCCAGCCUGCUCCGCGGCCCCAGGGCCCGGACACGAGGAGCCCCCGGCCAGCCGGUCCCGCUGCCAGGCCGUGCGUGGCGAGGCAGAGGCUGGAACCCGCGUUCCUGUGCCCGAGUGGCCGCCUCGGCCGUGAGCAAGGGCCGGGCAGGUCCUCGCGGCGUCGGUCGCAGAGCCUCCGCUGUCCUCGGCCGGACGCGGGGCCGCUUUGCCUUGGGGUCCGGGCCGGGCGGGGGGAGAGGUCGUGCUUGGAGCCUGGGCGGGAGGGCUCGGGCCGCCCCCACGUCAGCUGCUUUCUAGCUGGCGUGCGCCCUGUUGAAUUGAUCAGAAGGAGGAGGGAGGGAGACGGACCCCCUUCAAACUUGGCAUCCGAUCGUCUGCGGUUCUGACCUUGCUCGUAACUUACUGUUUUCAGCAGCUGUGAAGGUCGGCGCCCCUGCCUGUGUUUGAAUAAAAUCCCAUCGGUGUU
ensembl:lncRNA